rnacentral:rRNA from 2 species
GGACUACAAGGGUUUCUAAUCCUGUUUGCUCCCCACGCUUUCGCACCUGAAUGUCAAUGUUGGACCAGGAAGCCGCCUUCGCCACUGAUGUUCCUCCAGAUAUCUACGCAUUUCACCGCUACACCUGGAAUUCCGCUUCCCUCUUCCACAUUCGAGCAAUGCAGUUUCGAAUGCAGUUCCCAGGUUGAGCCCGGGGAUUUCACAUCCGACUUACAAAGCCAUCUACGUGCGCUUUACGCCCAGUAAUUCCGAUUAACGCUCGCACCCUCUGUAUUACCGCGGCUGCUGGCAC